CCCUGAUGUGGCACCAAAUGAAAUGAACAAAGCUCCCCAGCCCACAGGCCCCCCACCCGCCAGGUCCCCUGGACUCCCACAGCCAGCGUUUCCCCCGGGGCAGACUGCACCGGUGGUGUUUAGCACGCCUCAAGCGACACAAAUGAACACGCCUUCUCAGCCCCGCCAGGGAGGAUUCAGGUCUCUGCAGCACUUCUACCCUAGCCGGGCCCAGCCCCCUAGCAGUGCAGCCUCCCGAGUGCAGAGUGCAGCCCCUGCCCGUCCUGGCCCAGCUCCCCAUGUCUACCCUGCUGGAUCCCAAGUAAUGAUGAUCCCUUCCCAGAUCUCCUACUCAGCCUCCCAAGGAGCCUACUAUAUCCCUGGACAGGGGCGUUCCACAUAUGUUGUCCCAACACAGCAGUACCCUGUGCAGCCAGGAGCCCCAGGCUUCUAUCCAGGUGCAAGCCCUACCGAGUUUGGGACCUAUGCUGGAGCCUAUUACCCAGCCCAGAGUGUGCAGCAGUUUCCUGCUAGUGUGGCUCCUGCCCCAGUUCUGAUGAACCAGCCACCCCAGAUUGCCCCUAAGAGGGAACGGAAAACUAUCCGAAUUCGAGACCCAAACCAAGGAGGGAAGGAUAUCACAGAAGAGAUCAUGUCUGGGGCCCGUACUGCCUCCACACCCACUCCUCCC
rnacentral:lncRNA from 1 species